rnacentral:rRNA from 1 species
UGUAAGCGUAUACCAAAGUUGUUGCAGUUAAAACGCUCGUAGUCGGAAUUUGGCAGUUCCGGAUGUGCGCACGUCGUGUGCGCACUUCGCGGGGAUUGCUUUUGUGGUCUUGCGUAGGAUGAGGCACUUUUAUUAGUGAACGUCCUCACGCAACCACUUUUUACUGUGAGAAAAUCAGAGUGCUCAAAGCAGGCAUUUGCCGUGAAUGUAUUAGCAUGGAAUAAUAGAAUAGGACUUGGUUCUAUUUUGUUGGUUUGUUGGGACUGAGUAAUGAUUAAGAGGGACAGUUGGGGGCAUUUGUAUUUCGGUGCUAGAGGUGAAAUUCUUAGAUUACCGAAAGACAAACUGCUGCGAAAGCGUCUGCCAAGGAUGUUUUCAUUGA